GAGUGAAGGAGAAUGCAAAGGGAGAGUCGAGAUUGAAUAUGACUUCUUCAUCGUCCGAUAAUCAGGAGGACUCCACAACUUGGGAUCCAGUAAAAGGAAUUGCAGAAGAGGAUGAAGAAGAUUAUGAACCUGAGCCUCAUGUACACAUUGCAUCAAAUAAAAGGAAUCAGGAAAACGGUUCAUCCUAUGCAGAAGCCAGGUCGAAAGUCGAGCAAAUUAAUAUAAACCAAAAGCAAUGUCCCAAGGCCUUCCUUUCAAUGGACUCCCCUAAAGUGGAGUCCCCUAAAACUCCUUAUUCACAAGAGCCUUCACCAAAAAAAUCAGACACCCCCUCGAGAAAAGGUGUACCUGUGUUACGCCUUUUGUCUGGACGUGUUAAGGACUCCUCCAUGUCUAAAUCUUUGCAUUUAUCCCAAGAGUUAAAAAUUAACUCUGCAGACUCAGAUGAAGAAAGGACAGUGCAGCAUGAAACUGUGGGGAAAAGAAAUGCUCGAAGGCGGAGCCUUAGUCAAUCCUUAGAAAAAGGCUCCCCGAAUAAUAGUGAUGAAGGAAGUCUCAGCUGCAUUUCUCUCCCAUUG
rnacentral:misc_RNA from 1 species